rnacentral:rRNA from 1 species
GUGCCAGCCGCCGCGUAAUUCCAGCUCCAAUAGCGUAUAUUAAAGUUGUUGUGGUUAAAAAGCUCGUAGUUGAACCUUGGGCCUGGCUGGCCGGUCCGCCUCACCGCGUGCACUGGUCCGGCCGGGCCUUUCCCUCUGUGGAACCCCAUACCCUUCACUGGGCGUGGCGGGGAAACAGGACAUUUACUUUGAAAAAAUUAGAGUGCUCCAGGCAGGCCUAUGCUCGAAUACAUUAGCAUGGAAUAAUAAAAUAGGACGCGCGGUUCUAUUUUGUUGGUUUAUAGGACCGCCGUAAUGAUUAAUAGGGACAGUCGGGGGCAUCAGUAUUCAACUGUCAGAGGUGAAAUUCUUGGAUCAGUUGAAGACUAACUACUGCGAAAGCAUUUGCCAAGGAUGUUUUCAUUAAUCAGGAACGAAAGUUAGGGGAUCGAAGACGAUCAGAUACCGUCGUAGUCUUAACCAUAAACUAUGCCGACUAGGGAUCGGACGGUGUUAUUCAUGACCCGUUCGGCACCUUACGAGAAAUCAAAGUGCUUGGGGCUCCAGGGGGAGUAUGGUCGCAAGGCUGAAACUUAAAGAAAUUGACGGAAGGGCACCACCAGGGGUGGAGCCUGCGGCUUAAUUUGACUCAACACGGGGAAACUCACCAGGUCCAGACACAAUAAGGAUUGACAGAUUGAGAGCUCUUUCUUGAUUUUGUGGGUGGUGGUGCAUGGCCGUUCUUAGUGGUGGGGUGACUUGUCUGCUUAAUUGCGAUAACGAACGAGACCUUAACCUGCUAAAUAGCCCCGCAUUGCUCCGGCAGUGCGCUGGCUUCUUAGAGGGACUUUCGGCUCA